rnacentral:misc_RNA from 1 species
UCUACAUUCAACUACAAUGGGGAGCCAAGCGGCUGUUUCCUUCCUCACCAACAUAGCCCGUGCCGCUUUCACUCUCGGACUCGGCGGCGCACUUGUCAAUUCCUCCCUGUACACCGUCGACGGCGGUCAACGCGCCGUUCUCUUCGACCGUUUCAAUGGUGUCCUUGACAAAACUGUUGGUGAAGGCACUCAUUUCUUAAUCCCAUGGCUUCAGAAGCCUUUCAUCUUCGAUAUCCGUACCAGGCCUCAUGUUUUCUCUUCAGUAUCCGGUACAAAGGAUCUACAGAUGGUUAAUCUCACGCUACGUAUUCUAUCUAGACCAGAAAUAUCACGCCUACCGUACAUUUUCCAAAACCUAGGUACUGAAUAUGACGAGAAAGUACUUCCUUCUAUUGGUAAUGAGGUGCUUAAAGCUGUUGUGGCUCAAUUUAACGCUGAUCAGCUACUUACGGAUCGUCCACAGGUCUCUGCACUAGUACGGGAGAGUUUGAUUAAACGUGCUAAGGAUUUCAAUAUUGUGCUUGAUGAUGUGGCGAUCACACACUUAUCUUAUGGAGCUGAGUUUUCGAAAGCUGUGGAGCAGAAACAGGUAGCUCAGCAGGAGGCUGAGAGAUCGAAAUUUGUGGUGAUGAAAGCUGAGCAAGAGAGGAGGGCUGCGAUUAUUCGGGCUGAAGGAGAGAGCGAAUCUGCAAAGCUGAUUUCCGAUGCUACUGCGGCUGCUGGAAUGGGUUUGAUUGAGCUGAGGAGGAUUGAAGCUUCUAGAGAAGUUGCUGGAACUUUGGCUAAGACUCCUAAUGUUGCUUACUUGCCUAAGCAAGGGAAUAUGCUUCUUGGACUCGGCCGUUGAGUAGGUGGUGGUUUCUUUAAUGGUGUGGUGUAUUUUACUGCUAUUCUUCUUCAGUGGCCUCUUCUUACCCGUCCUUUUUCUGGUUGAAAGAUGACACCUUGAUUUAUCCUGGACCAUGUAUGUUAUAGCGCGAAUGAAGAAAACAAGGAUCACUGAGGAUGUUUUCUGUUUUGGUACCCUUUAUGAUAAACAUUAUAUUGUUAUUUCUUUAGACAAUCCCUUGUUUUCCUUAGCUUUACCCUAUUUACUAACCUAGUUUAAAUAAUUGUCAUGCAAACAUUUUGA